rnacentral:lncRNA from 1 species
CUCCUCCCGGCAUUGUCCCGCGGCCGCCGUCGGGCUCUUAAGCCCGGCCGCCCUGGGGCACGGCCGCAGCAGCUCUUCCGCGGCCCUCGCCCGAGCUGCUGGUGCCUUCAUCAGCCAUGUGCCCAGAGCUGGGAUGGAUCCUGCCCUGGAGGCUGGGGUUCCUGGUGGAGCGUGGUCCCAGAUCACUGUGACACACCAGAUUGGUCAACUCCUGUGCCUGAGCAAUGUCAUCAUGGUGCUGGCUGGAAGGAGCCGUGCAGGAGCACUGUGAAGAGACUUUCCAGGAAUGUUUCUGCAUGGAAAGCCAACACGUCUGCCUUGCAGGACUGAGGGAAGGAGGAGGGAUGGUGACUUGAUCGGUGAAGUCAGUGUGAGACUUCCCAUUGAUUCCAGCGGGUGCUGACCUCUAUGGGCUGAGACAGCAGCCUCAGCAUUGAGCUUGAACCUCACACAAUGGGACCCUUAUCCACAGUGAGGCCACAAAAUGCUGUUGCAUCCUAAAUAAAUUCACAUGAAACCAUCACACGGCAGUUUUCUU